CGGGAGCGUACGGGGUCGGGGAGAGGGAGGCACCGCGCGUGCUCUCCGCUGCUCGCCGCCGGCGACGCGGCCUGAUGUAGCUGGACGGCGGCGCGGCCCGAGGCGGCUGGACGGCCGUCGUCGGAGGCAGGGCUGCGCCUGCGGCUGCGGAUCCACGUGGGGAAGGUUCGGGGGCUACGCGCAGCCGCCUCGGGGGAGUCUCGGUGCUCCUCAACCGAGGCGGCGGCGGCGGCGCGUGCUGCGGCCGGUGGAGAGGGUGAGGGGGAGAGGGAGGGGCAGGGGCAGGGGACGGUGGGAGGGUGCUGCGGCGCGUGCUGCGGAUCCAAUUUUUGUUUUCUUAUUUUUUAUUUUUCUUAUAUGAUGUAUAUGAUGUAUAUUUUUAAUUAUUAAUUGUCCUAAAUAAAUGUAUAUGAUGUUUUAUUUUUCUUAUAAUUAUUAAUUGUCCUAAAUAAUUAUUAAUUGUUCUAAGUAAAUGUAUAUGAUGUAUUAUUAAUUAUUAAUUAUUAAUUAUCCUAAAUAAUUAUUAAUUAUUAAUGGUCUUAAAUAAAUGUAUAUGAUGUUUUAUUUUUCUUAUAAUUAUUAAUUGUCCUAAAUAAUUAUUAAUUAUUAAUGGUCUUAAAUAAAUAUGAUGUUUUAUUUUUCUUAUAAUUAUUAAUUGUUCUAAAUAAUUAUUAAUUGUUCUAAAUAAAUGUAUAUGAUGUAUUAUUAAUUGUUCUAAAUAAUUAUUAAUUAUUCAUUGUCCUAAAUAAUUAUUAAUUAUUAAUGGUCUUAAAUAAAUGUGUAUGAUGUUUU
rnacentral:lncRNA from 1 species